GACGAACGCUGGCGGCGUGCUUAACACAUGCAAGUCGAACGGAAAGGCCCUGCUUUUGUGGGGUGCUCGAGUGGCGAACGGGUGAGUAACACGUGAGUAACCUGCCCUUGACUUUGGGAUAACUUCAGGAAACUGGGGCUAAUACCGGAUAGGAUCUCCUGCUGCAUGGUGUGGGUUGGAAAGUUUCGGCUGUUGGGGAUGGACUCGCGGGUUAUCAGCUUGUUGGUGGGGUAGUGGCUUACCAAGGCUUUGACGGGUAGCCGGCCUGAGAGGGUGACCGGGCACAUUGGGACUGAGAUACGGACCAGAAUCCUACGGGAGGCAGCAGUGGGGAAUAUUGCACAAUGGGCGGAAGCCUGAUGCAGCAACGCCGCGUGCGGGAUGACGGCCUUCGGGUUGUAAACCGCUUUCGCCUGUGACGAAGCGUGAGUGACGGUAAUGGGUAAAGAAGCACCGGCUAACUACGUG
rnacentral:rRNA from 1 species